rnacentral:rRNA from 1 species
GAUGAACGCUGGCGGCGUGCCUAAUACAUGCAAGUCGAGCGAACGGACGAGAAGCUUGCUUCUCUGAUGUUAGCGGCGGACGGGUGAGUAACACGUGGAUAACCUACCUAUAAGACUGGGAUAACUUCGGGAAACCGGAGCUAAUACCGGAUAAUAUUUUGAACCGCAUGGUUCAAAAGUGAAAGACGGUCUUGCUGUCACUUAUAGAUGGAUCCGCGCUGCAUUAGCUAGUUGGUAAGGUAACGGCUUACCAAGGCAACGAUGCAUAGCCGACCUGAGAGGGUGAUCGGCCACACUGGAACUGAGACACGGUCCAGACUCCUACGGGAGGCAGCAGUAGGGAAUCUUCCGCAAUGGGCGAAAGCCUGACGGGGCAACGCCGCGUGAGUGAUGAAGGUCUUCGGAUCGUAAAACUCUGUUAUUAGGGAAGAACAUAUGUGUAAGUAACUGUGCACAUCUUGACGGUACCUAAUCAGAAAGCCACGGCUAACUACGUGCCAGCAGCCGCGGUAAUACGUAGGUGGCAAGCGUUAUCCGGAAUUAUUGGGCGUAAAGCGCGCGUAGGCGGUUUUUUAAGUCUGAUGUGAAAGCCCACGGCUCAACCGUGGAGGGUCAUUGGAAACUGGAAAACUUGAGUGCAGAAGAGGAAAGUGGAAUUCCAUGUGUAGCGGUGAAAUGCGCAGAGAUAUGGAGGAACACCAGUGGCGAAGGCGACUUUCUGGUCUGUAACUGACGCUGAUGUGCGAAAGCGUGGGGAUCAAACAGGAUUAGAUACCCUGGUAGUCCACGCCGUAAACGAUGAGUGCUAAGUGUUAGGGGGUUUCCGCCCCUUAGUGCUGCAGCUAACGCAUUAAGCACUCCGCCUGGGGAGUACGACCGCAAGGUUGAAACUCAAAGGAAUUGACGGGGACCCGCACAAGCGGUGGAGCAUGUGGUUUAAUUCGAAGCAACGCGAAGAACCUUACCAAAUCUUGACAUCCUUUGACAACUCUAGAGAUAGAGCUUUCCCCUUCGGGGGACAAAGUGACAGGUGGUGCAUGGUUGUCGUCAGCUCGUGUCGUGAGAUGUUGGGUUAAGUCCCGCAACGAGCGCAACCCUUAAGCUUAGUUGCCAUCAUUAAGUUGGGCACUCUAAGUUGACUGCCGGUGACAAACCGGAGGAAGGUGGGGAUGACGUCAAAUCAUCAUGCCCCUUAUGAUUUGGGCUACACACGUGCUACAAUGGACAAUACAAAGGGCAGCGAAACCGUGAGGUCAAGCAAAUCCCAUAAAGUUGUUCUCAGUUCGGAUUGUAGUCUGCAACUCGACUACAUGAAGCUGGAAUCGCUAGUAAUCGUAGAUCAGCAUGCUACGGUGAAUACGUUCCCGGGUCU